rnacentral:rRNA from 1 species
UACGAAGGUCCCAAGCGUUAUCCGGAUUUAUUGGGUUUAAAGGGUGCGUAGGCGGACUGUUAAGUCAGUGGUGAAAGCUCCAUGCCUAACAUGGAAAAUGCCAUUGAUACUGAUAGUCUUGAGUACGUUUGAAGUGGGCGGAAUGUGUCAUGUAGCGGUGAAAUGCUUAGAUAUGACACAGAACACCGAUUGCGUAGGCAGCUCACUAAACUGUAACUGACGCUGAGGCACGAAAGCAUGGGGAGCAAACAGG